CAGUCGCCGCGGUAAUACGUAGGGUGCGAGCGUUAAUCGGAAUUACUGGGCGUAAAGCGUGCGCAGGCGGUUAUGUAAGACAGAUGUGAAAUCCCCGGGCUCAACCUGGGACCUGCAUUUGUGACUGUAUAGCUAGAGUACGGUAGAGGGGGAUGGAAUUCCGCGUGUAGCAGUGAAAUGCGUAGAUAUGCGGAGGGACACCGAUGGCGAAGGCAAUCCCCUGGACCUGUACUGACGCUCAUGCACGAAAGCGUGGGGAGCAAACGGGAUUAGAUACCCGCGUAGUCCCUGUCUCUUAUAC
rnacentral:rRNA from 1 species